rnacentral:rRNA from 1 species
UACGAAGGGGGCUAGCGUUGCUCGGAAUCACUGGGCGUAAAGCGCACGUAGGCGGCUUUUUAAGUCAGGGGUGAAAUCCUGGAGCUCAACUCCAGAACUGCCUUCGAUACUGGGAGUCUUGAGUCCGAGAGAGGUGAGUGGAACUGCGAGUGUAGAGGUGAAAUUCGUAGAUAUUCGCAAGAACACCAGUGGCGAAGGCGGCUCACUGGCUCGGUACUGACGCUGAGGUGCGAAAGCGUGGGGAGCAAACAGG